GUAUCUUAGUUAAUUCGUUUAUUGUUGUUGUGCUAGACCGUUUAGUUAGUGAGUACCUAUUUAUAAUGAAUUCAAACCAAAAAAAGAAAAAUAUAGAUGCUAAUGAAAGAAACGAAGAUGGAACUAAUUUAGAAAACAGGAAGUGUAUCCCGUGGUAUGGGUUUGAAAAAUAUUUCAAAUAUGUUGAAGAAACCGACGAAAAUUUUAAAGUAUUAUGCUUAUUAUGUUUGCCAUCCAGAAAAACUAAAAGUACUUACUUCAAAAAAAUCAUCCACGAAUUUAAAACGACAUAGGAACAUAUGAGGAAGCUAAAAGUAAAUUACCAAAAUAUGACAAUAAUGAUGAUGCUGAAAGCUCGAAUAUUGAAAACCAGGGUCGUGGAACGUGUAAGAAGAAACGCAAUACUGGAAAAGGAAUUCAGAUUGAGAAUCAGGCAGUCAUUCACCAUCAAUGAUAACUAUGCCAGAACCAGAAACCAAACCAGCUACUUGGAUAAGAUCCCUUGGUAUGGAUUUUUUUAUGUGCUAGGUUACAAGAUCAGCUACCAACAGAAACAAAUUCUGACAAUAGUUAAUCACCACCAAUGUUUGAAUAUUAUAAUGAAGAAAAUGAACAGUGUAUCAGCCUUCAUCACCCGGAACCGUGGACUUGUCUCAUACUACAAUACAUUUAUUACAACAGCAAAUUUUGUUAGUCCAACAAAUUGUAUGAGGUCAACAGAUAACCAAUAAAUUAUUAACAAAAUUAAUCAUGAGCAACGGAGAAUAUAAUCCCAAUCAACAAUCAAACAAAAAUGUUCUGAACGUUUCAUUCUACCUGCUAAUUCUAUAGCUGAAGUGUGUGAUAUUGAAAUAAAAUUGCAAUUGUACUUGAAAGUUCAUAUAUAUAUAAGUAUGCAAAAAAGAUUUUAGAGAAGCGUAUAAGAUAUGGCAAGGCGGAAUACUUUAUCAAAUGGAGAGAUUACAGUGAUUCGGAAAAUUCUUGGGAACCUAUUGAAAAUCUUGAUAGUGAAGAUUUAGUAGAAAAAUAUGAAGAAGAAAUAAAAAGAAAAAAGCAAGCCAUCAAAUUCAAUUGAUUUCGAAUCUUCUGAUAAUAAUAGCUAGUACUGAGUAUCAGAAAGUAGCAGAAAAAGUUGUGGCUGUUAAAAUACAUGCUGGCCAGAUUAAAUUAUAUCGUAUUAAAUUUAAAGGAAUUAAAAAACAUGUUGCAAUAAAAACAAAUGAAGCUGAACAAUUAUACUCAAAACUCGUUGUCAAUUACUAUGAAAAAUUAUUGCUACGGAAAAAAUAUUUUCUUAAAAUGUAUUAUUAUUUCAAUUUAUGUUGAUAAGUAACUAAUAAGUAAUUAAUUUUGAAUUUUUUCGUUAUUUAUUUGUUUAAAUUGUAACGCAA